AGAUCAGUGGUCUAGCGGUUAGAACGCUGGCCUUGUAAUCCUGGGGUCUCGGGUUCGAUUCCCGGCGGUGCCU
rnacentral:tRNA from 1 species